rnacentral:rRNA from 1 species
CGAACGCUGGCGGCGUGCUUAACACAUGCAAGUCGAACGCGAAAGCAUCUCUUCGGAGAAGCGAGUAGAGUGGCGCACGGGUGAGUAACGCGUAGAUAAUCUACCUCUAUAUCUGGGAUAACCAAUCGAAAGGCUGGCUAAUACCGGAUAAUCUUUAUUGAUCGCAAGAUAUGAUAGAGUAAAGGUGACCUCUCCAUGGAAGUUGCCGUAUAGAGAUGAGUUUGCGUACCAUUAGCUAGUAGGUGGGGUAAUGGCCCACCUAGGCAACGAUGGUUAGCGGGUCUGAGAGGAUGAUCCGUCACACUGGAACUGAAACACGGACCAGACUCCUACGGGAGGCAGCAGUGAGGAAUAUUGCGCAAUGGGGGAAACCCUGACGCAGCGACGCCGCGUGAGUGAAGAAGGCCUUUGGGUUGUAAAGCUCUGUCAGGUGGGAAGAAGUGCUAUAUGGUUAAUACCCAUGUAGUUUGACGGUACCACCAGAGGAAGCACCGGCUAAAUCC